rnacentral:rRNA from 1 species
UACGAAGGGGACUAGCGUUGUUCGGAAUUACUGGGCGUAAAGCGCACGUAGGCGGAUUUGUUAGUCAGGGGUGAAAUCCCGGGGCUCAACCUCGGAACUGCCUUUGAUACUGCAAAUCUCGAGUCCGAUAGAGGUGAGUGGAACUGCGAGUGUAGAGGUGAAAUUCGUAGAUAUUCGCAAGAACACCAGUGGCGAAGGCGGCUCACUGGCCCGGUACUGACGCUGAGGUGCGAAAGCGUGGGGAGCAAACAGG